rnacentral:misc_RNA from 1 species
UUUCCGUAGGUGAACCUGCGGAAGGAUCAUUACGGAGUUCAUGCCCUUACGGGUAGAUCUCCCACCCUUGAAUAUUUAUACCUUAGUUGCUUUGGCAGGCCGUGGAAACACCAUGGGCUCCGGCUUAUGCGUGCCUGCCAGAGGAAACAAACUCUGUUUUUAGUGAUGUCUGAGUACUAUAUAAUAGUUAAAACUUUCAACAACGGAUCUCUUGGUUCUG